rnacentral:rRNA from 1 species
UAAUACGUAGGGUGCAAGCGUUGUCCGGAAUUAUUGGGCGUAAAGAGCUCGUAGGCGGUUUGUUGCGUCGGCUGUGAAAUCCCGAGGCUCAACCUCGGGUCUGCAGUCGAUACGAGCAAACUAGAGUGUUGCAGGGGAGACUGGAAUUCCUGGUGUAGCGGUGAAAUGCGCAGAUAUCAGGAGGAACACCGGUGGCGAAGGCGGGUCUCUGGGCAACAACUGACGCUGAGGAGCGAAAGCGUGGGGAGCGAACAGGAUUAGAUACCCUGGUAGUCCACGCCGUAAACGUUGGGCGCUAGGUGUGGGGCUCAUUCCACGAGUUCCGUGCCGCAGCUAACGCAUUAAGCGCCCCGCCUGGGGAGUACGGCCGCAAGGCUA